rnacentral:rRNA from 1 species
UACAGAGGGUGCGAGCGUUAGUCGGAAUUACUGGGCGUAAAGCGUGCGUAGACGGUAGCGUAAGUCAGAUGUGAAAGCCCCGGGCUCAACCUGGGAACUGCAUUUGAGACUGCUCUGCUCGGGUGCGGAAGAGGGAAGCGGAAUUUCCGGUGUAGCGGUGAAAUGCGUAGAUAUCGGAAGGAACACCAGUGGCGAAAGCGGCUUCCUGGUCCGACACCGACGUUCAGGCACGAAAGCGUGGGGAGCAAACAGG